CUAACACAUGCAAGUCGAGCGGCAGCGAGGUUAGUAGCAAUACUAAUUGUCGGCGAGCGGCGGACGGGUGAGGAACACGUAGGGAUCUGCCUUAGAGAGGGGGAUAACCAAGGGAAACUUUGGCUAAUACCGCAUAAACUCGGGAGAGAAAAGCUGCCUGCAAGGGUGGCGCUUUAAGAGGAACCUGCGUCCGAUUAGCUAGUUGGUAGGGUAAGGGCCUACCAAGGCGAGGAUCGGUAACUGGUCUGAGAGGACGACCAGUCACACUGGGACUGAGACACGGCCCAGACUCCUACGGGAGGCAGCAGUGGGGAAUCUUGGACAAUGGGGGCAACCCUGAUCCAGCGAUGCCGCGUGGGUGAAGAAGGCCUUCGGGUUGUAAAGCCCUUUAGGUUGGGAAGAAGUGCAUAAGUUUAAGAGAUGUAUGCAUUGACGGUACCGACAGAAUAAGCACCGGCAAACUCUGUGCCAGCCGCCGCCGUAA
rnacentral:rRNA from 1 species